rnacentral:rRNA from 1 species
AGGGUUUGAUUAUGGCUCAGGAUGAACGCUGGCGGCGUGCUUAAUACAUGCAAGUCGAACGAAGCACCUUGGACAGAAUCCUUCGGGAGGAAGACCAUUGUGACUGAGUGGCGGACGGGUGAGUAACGCGUGGGUAACCUGCCUUGUACAGGGGGAUAACAGUUGGAAACGACUGCUAAUACCGCAUAAGCGCACAGUACCGCAUGGUACGGUGUGAAAAACUCCGGUGGUACAAGAUGGACCCGCGUCUGAUUAGCUAGUUGGUGAGGUAACGGCCCACCAAGGCGACGAUCAGUAGCCGACUUGAGAGAGUGAUCGGCCACAUUGGGACUGAGACACGGCCCAA